AUGGGGAUCCUCAUCACCAUUGUACAAAGUCAGAUUUGGGAUUGUAUUACUUCUUUUGUGCAUGACAACCAAGCUAAGCCUACUUUAUGCAUCGGAGAUCUCAAUGAGUUGCUUUGUGAUGUAGAUAAGAAUUCUCCUAGUGUAAAUAAACAUCAUAUGAAUGCUUUUUUGCUAUGGUGAUUUUUUUAUCUAGCUUAUAGUGGCCCUGCUUACACUUGGAAUAAUAAAUGUUAAACUUCUAAACCAAUUUUCCAGCGCCUUGAUCGUUGCUUGGUUAAUAUUGAUUGGUGUGCUAUCUAUCCUAAUUCCAAUGUUUACAAUCUACCUAUCAUUUAUAGCAAUCAUGCUCCUAUGUUUCUGUCUAUGGAUGCUCAAGCUUACAAACCUAGAAGAAACUUCAAGUUUGAAAAUUGGUGGUUGAUGAAAAAAGACUUUCAUGCUCAUGCUAAGAAUGUAUGGAUCAAUUCUACAAAUAGAUCUUUCCACAAUAGAGUCACUAACCUUGCAGGAGCCCUGAGAACUUAG
rnacentral:rRNA from 1 species